rnacentral:rRNA from 1 species
GGGGAAUUUUGGACAAUGGGCGCAAGCCUGAUCCAGCCAUGCCGCGUGUCUGAAGAAGGCCUUCGGGUUGUAAAGGACUUUUGUCAGGGAAGAAAAGGCUGUUGCUAAUAUCAGCGGCUGAUGACGGUACCUGAAGAAUAAGCACCGGCUAACUACGUGCCAGCAGCCGCGGUAAUACGUAGGGUGCGAGCGUUAAUCGGAAUUACUGGGCGUAAAGCGAGCGCAGACGGUUACUUAAGCAGGAUGUGAAAUCCCCGGGCUCAACCUGGGAACUGCGUUCUGAACUGGGUGACUAGAGUGUGUCAGAGGGAGGUAGAAUUCCACGUGCAGCAGUGAAAUGCGUAGAGAUGUGGAGGAAUACCGAUGGCGAAGGCAGCCUCCUGGGAUAACACUGACGUUCAUGCUCGAAAGCGUGGGUAGCAAACAGGAUUAGAUACCCUGGUAGUCCACGCCCUAAACGAUGUCAAUUAGCUGUUGGGCAACUUGAUUGUUCAGUAGCGUAGCUAACGCGUGAAAUUGACCGCCUGGGGAGUACGGUCGCAAGAUUA